GAACGCACAUUGCGCCCGCCAGUAUUCUGGCGGGCAUGCCUGUUCGAGCGUCAUUUCAACCAUCAAGCCCCAGGCUUGUGUUGGAGCCCUGCGGCUGCUCGCAGCCUCCUAAAAUCAGUGGCGGGCUCGCUAUCACACCGAGUGCAGUAGUUUUCUCUUCGCUCUGGACGUGUAGCGGGUUCCGGCCGUGAAACCCCUCAAAUUUUUAAGGUUGACCUCGGAUCAGGUAGGAAUACCCGCUGAACUUAAG
rnacentral:misc_RNA from 1 species